UUUCGAUUUGCGGAGUGGUUUGCUCGUGGAGUGACUCGUCGUUUGAUAAACUAAUAGAGAGUUCUCCUUGAAGGAGUUAUUAAUCCCUGUCGAGUCUUAAGAGUUACUUUCCUCAGGAACAAACCUCUUAAAGCAACUCAGCACCUUAAAAGGAUUUAGUGGAACCAAGUCUAGAACCUGUCCCACUAUGCUCUGCGGCAUUAACGGCCUUUGGCGGGAAAGAAUCCCGGGGGCGGGGUCAAAGGGGGUGGGACCGGCGGUUGCUCCGGAAACGGGGGCAUCCUUAGUGCGCCGAGUCCGGGACCGCGUUGUCCUUAAUCAAGAUCCAAGGCUUGACUGUGUCUUCCCUUUCCUGUGUGAACAAGAUGUAGGUUGAUUAGAUAAAUGUCUCAUUUAGGGGAACCCAGUAAAUAUUUAACUUUAAGUGUCCUUCCAACCUUAGGUUCAAAACUUAACUAUGUAUAGCUCAAUUCAUUCUUGUGCUAGUGGAGGUGAUUCGUGCCCUGAUCAAUCACUGGUGGUAUCUGCCAACCGGAACCCAAACCUCAGCUUCUCUCUUUAAUCGCCUAUUAUUAGGCUUAGCACAGAGUAGAGGUCCAGUGAAGGUUUACAGAACGAAUUGUGCAUGUUAUUUUCCCACCCUCUUUCAAAGAACGAGACAAAGUGUGUGCGUGUAUAAAAUCCUAAAGUUCGCUUCUUUUAACUCAUCGGGACUUUCGGGUAAUAUAAAUGAGCAAAAUGGAUAUGUGAGAAUUGUGAUUACUGGAGACCACAGUUGCUUGCUCAGAGCAGAUCCUGCUUCCAUGCUCACCCAAGGAGAUAAGAACUUUUUACAUUCUUUCCAGAGACAUCUAAAAUCUGAAUUUUUAUGUGAAAUGUUGGGAUUUAAAUAUUAGUAAUGAAUUCAAAUUCUUAAAAAACCCUGCAGUCAUAAGUGUGCUAAAACAAAUCUGCACCCUGACUUUAAGGAUGAUUUUCAUCAUAGCAUACAUUAAUUUGGAACAAUCCCUCUCCCCAAGAACAUGGGGCGGUUUGUAGAGCUGCCAUAAAACGUUAUUAAAACUGGAUGAAGAAAUGAGGGGGAAUGGGAAAAUAAGUCAUGGAUAAGGUUAGUACACAAAAUGCCUGCAGUAAUAGCCUGGUGAAUUCCUAGAGAUGAACUGCAAAUUUGACUGGUCAUCCCAGAAGUCACAGUAAAGAAGGAAAAACAAAUUUGUUCUAAAUCUAAAGUUCCUUUGAGAUGAAAAAAAAAAAUAGAUCGUUUAGGAGAAGGGUAUUAUUUCUUAGUUCUAGAAGUUGAUUGAACAUAGUUUACAAAUGUUUGGUAGUCCUUGAACAAUCUGUGCUGGUUUCCGAAAUUAUGUAUAUAUGUGCAUGUCCCUUUUUCUGCAAAGAGGAUUUGAAAUUUUAAUCAGAUUCUUAAAGGGGUCUGUAGAUCCCAAGAGGGAAAAGAACCUCUGAAAAUUUUAGAGGGAAAAACAGAUUGUCUAUCCUUUGACCAUCCUCAAUGAUAUUUUUCAAAACUGAUCUUUUAAUUAAAAAGGCAAGAACCUGAUAAUUUUUAAAUGAGUAGCUGAUCAAAAAGGAUACCGUUUUAACAAAUCUAUUUAGUUUCCAGCAUUGUCUUAUUUACUGAGCAUGUUAUCUUUCUGUUCUAACUUUUAUCCAUAAAUACAGAAUUAUUCAGAUUCACCUUCUGUUGAUUAAUGUUAAGUCAAUGAUAACUGAAGUGAUUUAAACAAAUGCAUUUAAUUUCAAAACAUUUUCAUUCCAGAAAAAUAAUAAAACUGUGAAUUUGCUUUGAUUUAAUGCAGUCAUUUCUGAUUUUGUUCAGUUCAGAAAAAUACAAGGUAGACUUUAAUAUAGAGUGAAUAGGACAUUCUUGUUUCUCUGUUGCUCUCUUUUAUUGUGUUUGAACAAAACCAAAUUAUAGGUUCGGGAGUCCAUGAUGAGGUCAGGAUGUAGCAGGAGAAGUCGGAAUGGCUGUUUAUUAAGGUCUCCCAGGAUGACAUUGGCUGGGUGAUUAUUCUAGUUAAGGUUGUGAUCUUAAUAUUAUUGGUGUACCAGAGUUGAUUAACAUAUUUUAUUUGACAAGAAAGCAAGUAAACCAAACCAUUUGUUCUUUUGUUGGGUGGUGGGGCGGAUUCAUUUUGGAUAACCAGGGCACUCAAAUUGCAUAUACCAAGAUAACUGUUUUGGCAGAUCUGGAAAGCAAAUCAGGCCAUUGCUUAAUAAAUGAGGAAUCAAAACAAAAUGAGGUGAACCGUUUUGAGAGAUAUUUCAUUCAGAUCUUGGUGAGACCUGAUAAAUGAUUCCUGCCCCACAACAGAGUAUAUCUUUUCAGUGACAGCAUAAUUCAUACCCACUGGAUUUUGUGUCUCUAUUCCUGGAUAGAGCUGGGUAAAAAUUAGCCAUUCUUUUUCUGUAGGCUAAUCUUCACGCAAACUUUCUCUGAACAGCAUGCGAGGCAAUUGAAUAGAUUUCUGCUGACUGAAUUACAACCUCUUGCAGUUUGGCCUCCUGAGAUUACAUCUUCAUCUUAAAAAGGAUGGACCUCAAUGAAGUGACAAUGCUGUGGAAGUCGGGAGCGCUGAAUCAGUCUGGGUCCUGUCGCUCCAGGUAGUGAGGAGAGUUGGAUGAAGGGGCUGUUUUCCAAGGUUCAGGAUGUUUCUGGAAGAGAUUAACAUUUGAAGCAGCAGACUGAGUAAAGAAGAUGGCCCUACCCAGUGCGAGUGGCAUCAAUCAUCCAACCUGUUGGAUGCCUGAAUAGAGCAAAAAUGUGGAGGAAGGGUGAAUUCUCCCUCUCUCUUUUUGAGCUGGGACGUCCAUCUUCUCCUGCCUGUGGCCAUAAGAACUCCUGGUUGUCAAGCCUUUGGACUUCACGACUUAUGCCAGUGGCUCCCUGGGUUCUCAGGCUUCUGGACUUGAACUGAAGUACAGCACCAGCUUUUCUGGUUUGCCAGCUUACAGAUGGCAGAUCAUAGGACCUCUUGGCUUCCAUAAUUGGGACCAAGUUGUAACCUUGAAGGCUGAGAGUCUUAAGACGAAGUUGACAUCAUGGAGAAGGGUGGAGAGACAAAAAGAAACAGCACAGAACAGACGGAUUGGACCUUGCAGGAAGCCUACCCUUCUUCAAACUUUUUUUUAUUGUCACAGAGCAAUAGAUUCCUUUUAUUGUUUAA